GAAAAAAAUGAACAACGCAAUCGCAGACAAAACUAACUGAAAUUGCGUGUGCACUCACGUGGGUUUCCCGUAACGCAUCCGGACCUCUUCCGUGAUGCCCGUGUGAAAGGGGCCUAAAGAUCAUGGCACGCUCUGU